rnacentral:rRNA from 1 species
GUCGAACGGUAACGCGGGGGCAACCCUGGCGACGAGUGGCGGACGGGUGAGUAAUGCUUGGGAAUCUACCCAGUAGCGGGGGAUAACCUAGGGAAACUUAGGCUAAUACCGCAUACGACCUACGGGUGAAAGCGGGGGAUCGUAAGACCUCGCACUAUUGGAUGAGCCCAAGUCGGAUUAGCUAGUUGGCGGGGUAACGGCCCACCAAGGCUACGAUCCGUAGCUGGUCUGAGAGGACGAUCAGCCACACUGGGACUGAGACACGGCCCAGACUCCUACGGGAGGCAGCAGUGGGGAAUAUUGGACAAUGGGGGCAACCCUGAUCCAGCAAUGCCGCGUGUGUGAAGAAGGCCUGCGGGUUGUAAAGCACUUUCAGUAGGGAAGAAAAGCCCGGGACUAAUAUUCCCGGGUCUUGACGUUACCUAAAGAAGAAGCACCGGCUAACUCCGUGCCAGCAGCCGCGGUAAUACGGAGGGUGCGAGCGUUAAUCGGAAUUACUGGGCGUAAAGCGCACGUAGGUGGUUGGGUAAGUCGGAUGUGAAAGCCCUGGGCUUAACCUGGGAACUGCAUUCGAUACUGCCCGACUAGAGUAUGGGAGAGGGAAGCGGAAUUUCCGGUGUAGCGGUGAAAUGCGUAGAUAUCGGAAGGAACACCAAUGGCGAAGGCAGCUUCCUGGCCCAAUACUGACACUCAGGUGCGA